ACUCAACAGCUAGCCCCCCCCCCAAAAAGCACAACAUCCAUAUAAAAUAACCCCUAAUUAACUACACACCCACAAAACAAAUCAUUUUUCCUCCCUAGUAUGGGCGACAAAAAAGGACAAAGGAGCUAUAGAGAAAGUACCGCAAGGGAACGCUGAAAGAAAAAUGAAAUAAACCAGUAAAGUAUAAAAAAGCAAAAAUUUGAGCUCGUAUUUUUCC
rnacentral:rRNA from 1 species